AAGAAGUUUUAUUUUGGCUUUUUAGUUUGUUUAUAAUUUGUUUAUACAUGUAAAUUUUUGUGGGAAUGUUAUUUUACCUUAAUGGUGAAAUUAUGAUUAUAUUUACGUAUUUGCAGUAAUUAAUAUUAUUUUUCUAGUGAUUUAGGAAAUAGUAAUUUUAUUUUAGCAUUGGCUAAAUUUGUGCCAGCAGCCGCGGUUAUACAAAGGAUGUUAAUGAACUUUUUUGGUUUAAGUUAAAUAGGUUAAUUUAUGAUUAGAGAUUUAAUUUAAAAAUUGUUCUUAUAAGGUGAAAUUUUUAGGUUGUUAAUAGGUUGAUCUCUUUAUAUUAAUUAAGGCUUAAAAAUCUUAUUUAUUAAACUAGGAUUAGAUACCCUAUUAUUAUAAGAUGUAAGUAUGUUCACCUAAGUAGUAUUAGUUAUGGUCUUGAAACUUAAAAAAUUUGGCGGUAUUUUAGUCUAUUCAGAGGAACCUGUUCUGUAAUCGAUAAUCCACGUUGAAUCUUACUUAAUUUUGUCUUUCAAUUUGUAUACCGCCGUUAUUGAAUAUUUUAUUAGAAUAAUAAUUUUCAAUAGUUUUUAUUAAAUAUAAUAUCAGGUCAAGGUGCAGUUUAUGAUUAAGUUAGUAAUGGGUUACAAUAAAAUUUAUGUUAUUACGGAUGAUAAAUUGAAAUAUUUAUUUGAAGGUGGAUUUGGUAGUAAAAUUUUUAAUUGUGUAAAUUUGACUUUAGCUCUAUAAUAUGUACACAUCGCCCGUCGCUCUUAUUACUAAGGUAAGAUAAGUCGUAACAUAGUAGAUGUACUGGAAAGUGUAUCUAGAAAACA
rnacentral:ncRNA from 1 species